rnacentral:rRNA from 1 species
GACGUAGGGCGCGAGCGUUGUCCGGAUUUAUUGGGCGUAAAGAGCUCGUAGGCGGUUCCGUGAGUCGGCUGUGAAAUCUCCACGCUCAACGUGGAGGGGUCAGUCGAUACUGCGGUGACUCGAGUCCGGUAGGGGAGUGUGGAAUUCCCGGUGUAGCGGUGAAAUGCGCAGAGAUCGGGAGGAACACCCGUAGCGAAGGCGGCACUCUGGGCCGGUACUGACGCUGAGGAGCGAAAGCGUGGGGAGCAAACAGG